GACGAACGCUGGCGGCGUGCCUAAUACAUGCAAGUCGAACGAGAGCGACCGGUGCUUGCACUGGUCAAUCUAGUGGCGAACGGGUGAGUAACACGUGGGUAACCUGCCCAUCAGAGGGGGAUAACAUCCGAAAACGGAUGCUAAAACCGCAUAGGUCUUCGAGCCGCAUGGCUUGAAGAGGAAAAGAGGCGCAAGCUUCUGCUGAUGGAUGGACCCGCGGUGCAUUAGCUAGUUGGUGAGGUAACGGCUCACCAAGGCCGUGAUGCAUAGCCGACCUGAGAGGGUGAUCGGCCACAUUGGGACUGAGACACGGCCCAAACUCCUACGGGAGGCAGCAGUAGGGAAUCUUCCGCAAUGGACGCAAGUCUGACGGAGCAACGCCGCGUGAGUGAAGAAGGUUUUCGGAUCGUAAAACUCUGUUGUUAGAGAAGAACAAGUGCUAGAGUAACUGUUAGCGCCUUGACGGUAUCUAACCAGAAAGCCACGGCUAACUACGUG
rnacentral:rRNA from 1 species